rnacentral:rRNA from 1 species
GGAUGAGCCCGCGGCCUAUCAGCUUGUUGGUGGGGUAAUGGCCUACCAAGGCGACGACGGGUAGCCGACCUGAGAGGGUGAUCGGCCACGCUGGGACUGAGACACGGCCCAGACUCCUACGGGAGGCAGCAGUGGGGAAUAUUGCACAAUGGGCGCAAGCCUGAUGCAGCGACGCCGCGUGAGGGAUGACGGCCUUCGGGUUGUAAACCUCUUUCGACAGGGACGAAGCGCAAGUGACGGUACCUGUAGAAGAAGCACCGGUCAACUACGUGCCAGCAGCCACGGUAAUA